rnacentral:rRNA from 1 species
UACGUAGGGUCCGAGCGUUGUCCGGAAUUACUGGGCGUAAAGAGCUCGUAGGUGGUUUGUCGCGUUGUUCGUGAAAACUCACAGCUUAACUGUGGGCGUGCGGGCGAUACGGGCAGACUAGAGUACUGCAGGGGAGACUGGAAUUCCUGGUGUAGCGGUGAAAUGCGCAGAUAUCAGGAGGAACACCGGUGGCGAAGGCGGGUCUCUGGGCCGAUACUGACGCUGAGGAGCGAAAGCGUGGGGAGCGAACAGG